AAUAUUUUCACUGCAGUUGAUUCAGCCAGUCUGUGCUAAAUAAUGCUUCAAAUGUUUGUCAAUAGUUUGGUUUGGACCCUGAACCAUUGGUACCUGGUGGCCCUUCUUCUGCCACUGGUGAUACUGGUCAUCAUCAUCUGUAUGCUCAGAAAGAAAUGUGAGUUAGAGAAUCAAACCAGGAUCAGAGAGAGGAGCAAUGACACCACUGUUCCCACAGCUAAGAAUAAGCCCACUUGUUCUGCUGAAGACUCGAUUAUAUACAGCACUGUGGCUACA